rnacentral:rRNA from 1 species
AGAGUUUGAUCAUGGCUCAGGAUGAACGCUGGCGGUCUGCUUAACACAUGCAAGUCGAACGGAUGUUUUCGGACAUUAGUGGCGGACGGGUGAGUAACGCGUGAGAAUCUAGCUUCAGGUUGGGGACAACAGUUGGAAACGACUGCUAAUACCGAAUAUGCCGAGAGGUGAAAGAUUAAUUGCCUAAAGAAGAGCUCGCGUCUGAUUAGCUAGUUGGUGGGGUAAUGGCCUACCAAGCCGUUGACGGGUAGCUGGUCUGUGAGGACGAUCAGCCAGACUGGGACUGCGACACGGCCCAGACACCUACGGGUGGCAGCAGCGAGGAAUCUUCCACAAUGGGCGCAAGCCCGAUGGAGCAACGCCGCGUGGGGGAAGAAGGCUCUUGGGUUGUAAACCCCUUUUCUCUGGGAAGAAAGUUGUGAAAGCAACCUGACGGUACCAGAGGAAUCAGCAUCGGCUAACUCCGUGCCAGCAGCCGCGGUAAGACGGAGGAUGCAAGCGUUAUCCGGAAUGAUUGGGCGUAAAGCGUCCGCAGGUGGCAGUUCAAGUCUGCUGUCAAAGACCGGGGCUUAACUUCGGAAAGGCAGUGGAAACUGAACAGCUAGAGUAUGGUAGGGGCAGAGGGAAUUCCUGGUGUAGCGGUGAAAUGCGUAGAGAUCAGGAAGAACAUCGGUGGCGAAGGCGCUCUGCUGGACCAUAACUGACACUCAGGGACGAAAGCUAGGGGAGCGAAUGGGAUUAGAUACCCCCGUAGUCC